rnacentral:misc_RNA from 1 species
GAAAUGCGAUACUUGGUGUGAAUUGCAGAAUCCCGUGAACCAUCGAGUCUUUGAACGCAAGUUGCGCCCGAAGCCAUUAGGCCGAGGGCACGCCUGCCUGGGUGUCACACAUCGUUUAACGAUGUGUGA